CCCGCGCCGAGCCCCUCGCACAAACCGGACCUGAACGUUUUGUUCGUUCGGCUCGCGUGAGGC
rnacentral:pre_miRNA from 1 species